rnacentral:lncRNA from 1 species
GAGAGGAUAUUCAUUUUUGUCAAUUCCAAAAUAGAUAAUGAGAUAUUCAAAUGGAAGAUCUUUACUAUUGAUCAAGAUCUAUAUUAGUAAAAAAUGCGUAAAAACUAAACAUUGCAUAUUGUAGUAGUCUCUAACAUAUGUACCAAAUGGACUUAAAAAUGGAUAACCUCUGUCAUGUUAAUAUAAUAAAAUGCAUGAUAAAUUUAAAGAGG